GGCUGCACUACACGUAUUUGACACUGCGCCGCCAUUAUACUGUACAAUUAAAUGUUUAGUUUUUAGACUUUGUUAGUAUAGAAAAUUGUAUAAGGAAAAAUCACAGAAGACAUUCUUUCCGUACCAAAUAGGCUAUAAAUUCGUACAAGAAUUAUUUAAUCAAUGGCGUUACAAACCUAUGGAGAUAAGCCUGUGGCUUUUCAGUUGGAGGAAGGCGGCGAAUAUUACUAUGUGGGCUCGGAAGUGGGCAAUUAUAUGCGUUUGUUUCGUGGUAUUUUGUAUAAAAAGUAUCCUGGUAUGACGCGGUUAGUACUCUCAAAUGAAGAGCGUAAAAGGCUCGCUGAUUCUGGCCUGAGUUCGCAUAUAUUGGCCAGUUCAGUAUCUUUGCUACGUGCUGUCGAAGUUGAUGACAUUAUUGCUGGGAACGAUGAAAAAUAUCGAGCGAUAUCGGUUAACACAUCGGAAACACCUCUUCCACGUGAGAGUAAGUCUAAAAAACAACCGCAGUAUGUUCCCACUAUGCCGAAUUCCAGCCAUCUGGACGCAGUUCCACAAGCUACACCAAUCAAUCGCAAUCGGGUUCAUACUAAAAAAGUUCGCACUUUUCCCAUGUGCUUUGAUGAUACCGAUCCAAGUACUAAUAUUGAAAACGCAGCACAAAAGGAAUGUUUAGUACCAAUACGUCUAGACAUGGAAUUGGAGGGACAGAAGUUGCGCGACACAUUCACUUGGAAUAAAAAUGAGAGUAUGAUAACACCAGAACAAUUUGCUGAAGUACUUUGUGAUGAUUUGGAUCUAAAUCCUAUUCCCUUUGUUCCCGCCAUUGCACAGGCAAUUCGACAGCAAAUUGAAGCGUUUCCCAAUGAACCACCAAUACUAGAAGAAAGUAGUGACCAACGUGUUAUUGUUAAACUUAAUAUUCACGUCGGUAAUACCUCCCUUGUUGACCAAGUUGAGUGGGAUAUGUCUGAAAAGAAUAACAAUCCUGAGGAAUUUGCUAUAAAAUUAUGCGCAGAACUUGGUUUAGGAGGAGAGUUCGUAACAGCAAUUGCUUACAGCAUACGAGGCCAAUUGUCCUGGCACUGUCGUACUUAUGCUUUUAGCGAGGCUCCGCUAUCAACCAUCGACGUUCCCUUCCGAAACCCCAGCGAUGCUGAUGCAUGGGCACCAUUCCUUGAAACGUUAACCGAUGCUGAAAUGGAAAAGAAGAUCCGAGAUCAAGAUCGUAAUACGCGCCGUAUGCGCCGCUUAGCCAACACGACUACCGGUUGGUAGACUCGACAGCAUUAGAAUGUAUUACUUAACCGAAAUAUACAUUGCAGAUAUUCCAGUAACAAUUAAAGUCUGUGGAAGGCGAAAACCACGAAAAGGCUGUUGAACUUCUUAAGCAAGCCAUUGGAUCUGUGAAGCUUAUUGUUCGGUACACCCCUAAAGUAUUAGAGGAAAUGGAGUUGCGAUUUGAUAAGCAACGUACCACACGUCGUCGCCAGUGAUUCCGAAAGCGAGAGAACUUUGGUAAAUCGGGCAAAAUAGUUUUAUAA